UACGUAGGCAGCAAGCGUUGUUCGGAAUUACUGGGCGUAAAGAGUGUGUAGGCGGUGCUCUAAGUCUGUUGUGAAAUCUCCCGGCUUAACCGGGAGGGUGCGGCGGAAACUGGAGUGCUUGAGGGUGGGAGAGGUAAGCGGAAUUCCUGGUGUAGCGGUGAAAUGCGUAGAUAUCAGGAGGAACACCUGUGGUGUAGACAGCUUACUGGACCACUCCUGACGCUGAGACACGAAAGCGUGGGUAGCAAACAGG
rnacentral:rRNA from 1 species